rnacentral:sRNA from 1 species
GACUGGGGUGAGCACACGCCUUUAGGCGGC